UACGUAGGGCGCAAGCGUUGUCCGGAAUUAUUGGGCGUAAAGAGCUCGUAGGCGGCCUGUUACGUCUGUUGUGAAAUCCCGGGGCUUAACCCCGGGCGUGCAGUGGAUACGGGCAGGCUGGAGGCAGGCAGGGGAGAACGGAAUUCCCGGUGUAGCGGUGAAAUGCGCAGAUAUCGGGAGGAACACCGGUGGCGAAGGCGGUUCUCUGGGCCUGUACUGACGCUGGGGAGCGAAAGCGUGGGGAGCAAACAGG
rnacentral:rRNA from 1 species